rnacentral:piRNA from 1 species
UCUUCAGUGUACAUGAAGUAAGGGGCA